GAGAUAAAUAAAGAAAAAGCUUCUAACUUAUUUCUAUAGCAGUGAAACCCUGUUAUUAUCUCU
rnacentral:tRNA from 2 species